CUCAGUUGGUAGAGCGCACCCUUGGUAAGGGUGAGGUCGGCAGUUCGAAUCUGCCUAUCAGCACCA
rnacentral:tRNA from 1 species